GGAGUUAGCCGGUGCUUCUUCUGUGAGUGAUGUCCUUCCUGCCGGCUAUUAACCCGCAGGCCUUCUUCCUCACUGAAAGUGCUUUACAACCCGAAGGCCUUCUUCACACACGCGGCAUGGCUGGAUCAGGGUUGCCCCCAUUGUCCAAUAUUCCCCACUGCUGCCUCCCGUAGGAGUCUGGGCCGUGUCUCAGUCCCAGUGUGGCUGAUCAUCCUCUCAGACCAGCUACGGAUCGUCGCCUUGGUGAGCCGUUACCUCACCAACCAGCUAAUCCGACAUAGGCUCAUCCGAUAGCGCGAGGCCCGAAGGUCCCCCGCUUUCCCCCGUAGGGCGUAUGCGGUAUUAGCCUGGGUUUCCCCAGGUUAUCCCCCACUACCGGGCAGAUUCCUAUGCAUUACUCACCCGUCUGCCGCUCGCCACCAGGGAGCAAGCUCCCCGUGCUGCCGCUCGACUUGCAUGUGUUAGGCCUGCCGCCAGCGUUCAAUCUGAGCCAGAAUCGAACCUNACGACUGCGGCGGUCGUCGGACGACGGCGCUAG
rnacentral:rRNA from 1 species